rnacentral:lncRNA from 1 species
CUGGGAGUCUGGAGAAGAAUCAGCUUCCAACCUUACUCAGUGACUCAUUUAUUCAUAAGCUUGGGACUCACACAUCACCAAUGAGAACUGAGAGGAUGUCUUACGUUUCCUUCCAUCUACAGGGCAGGUGCAGAGGAUCCAGCAUGUUAUUCUGAAACCCCAGAAGACGCUGCAGCUACCAAAUAGAAGGAGCCUGGAUCCCUGAAUGUCUUCAUGGAACAGAACAUUCUCCUCACUCCAGUCUGUUUGAACCAGAAUAUGACCUGAGCAAGAAAUAAGCCUUAAUUAUAUUUGACCAUAGAAUUCUGGUGAUAUUUCUAUGGCUGUAAGUCCAUGUUGAUUAAUACAAAGGGAUGCUGUAAAGCCUCUUCUAUUAAAAAAAGUUGCCCAAGGAGUGAAAGGAGAGAUAUUUUCUGUAAUUAAGAUUUUCAUAAUACAUAGAACAGGCUAUAGCACCUGGCAAUCAAUCAUAUGGGGUACAACAGAAAGAGGAAACAUUCCUGCUAUUAAAUUAACCAAACUGGAGUUCUUGUUAUAUAAUAUAGUAAAAUUUCCUCAAUCUUUCAGCCACCUUUAGUUCUGUAAUCUAUUAUUUCUGGGUAAAAGCAUACCAUUUGAUACACAAUCCAAACCCAAUUCUUAAUUAAUAACGUGUAUCCACUGUAUCUUACCACAUCCCAAAUCAUCUAAUACUUAACCACCUAGUUUCUAUGUUCCACUUACAUCAAACAUAUUCAUGUUUGGAAAAUUGAGCCAGCAUCUACUGCCUUAUCAGCUGAUGCAUAACAAUUUACUUUGUCUGUGCUCUAUAAUAAUGCAAGUCUGCUUGGAAAGAUAACACGUUAAAGGGUUAUCAGACCCUAACACCUUCGUAUAGAUGAAUUUAUCAGAUCCUCUGCUAAACCACUUUCGAAUCCUUGGCCAGUUCUCUACAUUUCAUGAAGAGUUAGCAUAGCCAGUCCAGGAGAUAUUAUCUUCAGGAUGUGGUCAGUUGUGGAAAGGAAGAUAGCUCUGAGGAUCUCUUUCCAGGGAAAAGAAAGACAUGAGGAUUGCUCCAAAGAUCCUCUUUCUGGGGGAAAACGCACAUACUACAG